rnacentral:rRNA from 1 species
CGCAGCCGCGGUAAUUCCAGCUCCAAUAGCGUAUAUUAAAGUUGUUGCAGUUAAAAAGCUCGUAGUUGAAUUUCGAGAUCAAAUUGUUGGUCGUGCCUUGGUACGCACUGGCAUUAUUGGUUUCUCCCUUCUGACGAACCAUGAUGUCAUUAAUUUGGUGUCUUGGGGAAUCAGGACUGUUACUUUGAAAAAUUAGAGUGUUUAAAGCAGGCUCACGCUUGAAUACAUUAGCAUGGAAUAAUGAAAUAGGACGUUUGAUUCUAUUUUGUUGGUUUCUAGGAUCGACGUAAUGAUUAAUAGGGAUAGUUGGGGGCAUUAGUAUUCAAUUGUCAGAGGUGAAAUUCUUGGAUUUAUUGAAGACUAACUACUGCGAAAGCAUUUGCCAAGGAUGUUUUCAUUAAUCAAGAACGAAAGUUAGGGGAUCGAAGACGAUCAGAUACCGUCGUAGUCUUAACCAUAAACUAUGCCGACUAGGGAUCGGAUGAUGUUAAUUUUUAAUGACUCAUUCGGCGUCCG